GACGAACGCUGGCGGCGUGCUUAACACAUGCCAGUCGAACGGAAAGGCCCUGCUUUUGUGGGGUACACGAGUGGCGACCGGGUAAGUAACACGUGAGUAACCUGCCCUUGACUUUGGGAUAACUUCAGGAAACUGGGGCUAAUACCGGAUAGGAGCUCCUGCUGCAUGGUGGGGGUUGGAAAGUUUCGGCGGUUGGGGAUGGACUCGCGGCUUAUCAGCUUGUUGGUGGGGUAGUGGCUUACCAAGGCUUUGACGGGUAGCCGGCCUGAGAGGGUGACCGGCCACAUUGGGACUGAGAUACGGCCCAGACUCCUACGGGAGGCAGCAGUGGGGAAUAUUGCACAAUGGGCGGAAGCCUGAUGCAGCAACGCCGCGUGCGGGAUGACGGCCUUCGGGUUGUAAACCGCUUUCGCCUGUGACGAAGCGUGAGUGACGGUAAUGGGUAAAGAAGCACCGGCUAACUACGUG
rnacentral:rRNA from 1 species